UACGUAGGGCGCAAGCGUUGUCCGGAAUUAUUGGGCGUAAAGAGCUCGUAGGCGGCUUGUCACGUCGGUUGUGAAAGCCCGGGGCUUAACCCCGGGUCUGCAGUCGAUACGGGCAGGCUAGAGUGUGGUAGGGGAGACUGGAAUUCCUGGUGUAGCGGUGAAAUGCGCAGAUAUCAGGAGGAACACCGGUGGCGAAGGCGGGUCUCUGGGCAAUAACUGACGCUGAGGAGCGAAAGCGUGGGGAGCGAACAGG
rnacentral:rRNA from 1 species